UACAGAGGGUGCAAGCGUUAAUCGGAAUUACUGGGCGUAAAGGGUGCGUAGGUGGUUGUUUAAGUCUGCUGUGAAAGCCCCGGGCUCAACCUGGGAAUGGCAGUGGAUACUGGACAGCUAGAGUGCGGUAGAGGGUAGUGGAAUUCCCGGUGUAGCAGUGAAAUGCGUAGAGAUCGGGAGGAACACCAGUGGCGAAGGCGGCUACCUGGACCAGCACUGACACUGAAGCACGAAAGCGUGGGGAGCAAACAGG
rnacentral:rRNA from 1 species